rnacentral:tRNA from 1 species
GGUGCCAUAUCUAAUUUGGUAGAGCAAAGGACUGAAAAUCCUUGUGUCCCUAGUUCGAUUCUCGGUGGCACCA